rnacentral:rRNA from 1 species
UUCGCCUACGGGGGGCAGCAGUGGGGGAUAUUGCACAAUGGGGGAAACCCUGAUGCAGCGACACCGCGUGGGUGAAGAAGCGCUUCGGCGUGUAAAGCCCUAUCAGUGGGGAAGAAAAAGGACGGUACCCAAAGAAGAAGCACCGGCUAAAUACGUGCCAGCAGCCGCGGUAAUACGUAUGGUGCAAGCGUUAUCCGGAUUUACUGGGUGUAAAGGGAGCGUAGACGGCAGGGCAAGUCUGGAGUGAAAGGCCGGGGCCCAACCCCGGAACUGCUUUGGAAACUGUGCAGCUCGAGUGC